UACGUAGGGGGCUAGCGUUGUCCGGAAUCAUUGGGCGUAAAGCGCGUGUAGGCGGCCCGGUAAGUCCGCUGUGAAAGUCGGGGGCUCAACCCUCGGAAGCCGGUGGAUACUGUCGGGCUGGAGUACGGAAGAGGCGAGUGGAAUUCCUGGUGUAGCGGUGAAAUGCGCAGAUAUCAGGAGGAACACCAGCGGCGAAGGCGGCAUCCUGGCCCUGUACUGACGCUGAGGCGCGAUAGCGUGGGGAGCAAACGGG
rnacentral:rRNA from 1 species